rnacentral:rRNA from 1 species
UUCGCAAUGCCCGAAAGGGUGACGAAGCGACGCCGCGUGUGGGAAGAAGGCCUUCGGGUUGUAAACCACUGUCAGGAGUUAGGAAAUGCAAGGGUGUUAAUAGCGCCUUUGCUUGACUAAGGCUCCAGAGGAAGCCACGGCUAACUCUGUGCCAGCAGCCGCGGUAAUACAGAGGCGGCAAGCGUUGUUCGGAAUUAUUGGGCGUAAAGAGCACGUAGGCGGCCUUGCGAGUCAGUUGUGAAAGCCUUCCGCUCAACGGAAGAAUGCCAGCUGAUACUACAGGGCUUGAGUACGGGAGGGGAGAGUGGAACUUCUGGUGGAGCGGUGAAAUGCGUAGAUAUCAGAAGGAACGCCGGCGGCGAAAGCGACUCUCUGGCCCGAAACUGACGCUGAGCGUGCGAAAGCUAGGGGAGCAAACGGGAUUAGAUACCCCGGUAGUCCUAGCCGUAAACGAUGGGCACUAAGUAGAGGGGUUUU